AUUGAACGCUGGCGGCAGGCCUAACACAUGCAAGUCGAACGAGUGGCGGACGGGUGAGUAAUGUCUGGGAAACUGCCUGAUGGAGGGGGAUAACUACUGGAACCGGUAGCUAAUACCGCAUACCAUCAGCUGUGCCCAGGUGGGCUUAGCUAGUUGGUGGGGUAACGGCUCACCAAGGCGACGAUCCCUAGCUGGUCUGAGAGGAUGACCAGCCACACUGGAACUGAGACACGGUCCAGAGUCCUACGGGAGGCAGCAGGGGGGAAUAUUGCACAAUGGGCGCAAGCCUGAUCCAGCCAUGCCGCGUGUGUGAAGAAGGUCUUCGGAUUGUAAAGCACUUUAAGUUGGGAGGCGGUACCAACAGAAUAAGCACCGGCUAACUUCGUGCCAGCAGCCGCGGUAAUUC
rnacentral:rRNA from 1 species